UCAACGACAACACGCACGCGGGUACACAACCGCCUGGGUGAGGGUCAAACCAUCUCUUUUGCCGAUGCGUGUCCUCCGUCCGUGCGAGUUCAUAAGUUUCUGCUCCUGCUCUCUCUCUAUUUAUUUCUAUUUUUUGCUCACACGGGAGCAGCUACUGAACCAUGCUCUGUGCGAAUUUGUAAGUUGCUGCUCAUGCGCCCUCUCUGCUUAUUUCUUCUUGCUCAUGCAGGAGCAGCCAGGUAGCACAAGGAGCAGUGAGGACGGUUGUGCUACAGAUCCUCACAUGCCUGGCGACACGGGUGAUGAUGUGGGCUAGGAAGGGCGCGGCAGUGUUGAUGUUGCCUCCAAGAAAAAAGGCUGCUCGAGAGAGGAGAGAGGAGACUGAGGUGGUCCGUGUGCUUUCGCGGAUGGAUUAGCCUUUUGUCUUGCUUUAUGCGUCAUCCGGACCCGUUGAGUCAUGCGGUACAUGGAUACUACCACUCUCGAGAUUGUGUUCGAGCUGCCGUUGAGGUUCAGUUUGUCGCCCUCAACCAGAAAGAUGAUAUUAGAAUCUAUUUGGUAAAUCAUCGGAACCCAAGCUGCAUAGGCAUGGGUAUCUUGGUGAGAUGAAGUCUCUAUUUUAGAUUCAGUUGUAGUGGAUAUUGUUCACUCUGCCAACUACUUUCUACUCUGCCAUUGCGUGCCAGCAAGGGCGCAUUUUGUACUGCUGACAUCAGAUGGUUCAGGGCUCCUUUUGCUAUUUAUUUGUGGCUUGCACUGAGGCUUACUAUGAUAGCGGUGGUUGGUGUCGAAUUACCAGUGGUAUAUGCUGGAAGCUAGCUUUGAAACACACACAGGUUGUACUCCGUACCGAAGGCUUUUGUAAUGGCAUGCUUUGUUUGUACAAGUACAAAACUAUGUAAUGAGUUUCUGUUGUUUAAUCGUUCAUUAGUAAAGAGAUGGUGCAGCCAAUGGAUCUAACUUGAAGAAUAAUGUUGU